rnacentral:rRNA from 1 species
GAUGAACGCUGACAGAAUGCUUAACACAUGCAAGUCAACUUGAAUUUGGGUUUUUAACUUAGGUUUGGGUGGCGGACGGGUGAGUAACGCGUAAAGAACUUGCCUCACAGCUAGGGACAACAUUUGGAAACGAAUGCUAAUACCUAAUAUUAUGAUAAUAGGGCAUCCUAUAAUUAUGAAAGCUAUAAGCGCUGUGAGAGAGCUUUGCGUCCCAUUAGCUAGUUGGAGAGGUAACGGCUCACCAAGGCGAUGAUGGGUAGCCGGCCUGAGAGGGUGAUCGGCCAAAAGGGGACUGAGACACGGCCCUUACUCCUACGGGAGGCAGCAGUGGGGAAUAUUGGACAAUGGACCAAGAGUCUGAUCCAGCAAUUCUGUGUGCACGAUGAAGUUUUUCGGAAUGUAAAGUGCUUUCAGUUGGGAAGAAAGAAAUGACGGUACCAACAGAAGAAGUGACGGCUAACUACGUG